GAAUGGCUCAUUAAAUCAGUUAUGAUUUAUUAGAUCGUGCGUUCCACAUGGAUAACUGUAGUAAUUCUAGAGCUAAUACACGCAAAUGGCCCUGACUUACGGAGGGGCGCUUUUAUUAGAUCAAAAUCAAUCGGGGCAACCCGAAAAUGUGAUGACUCUGGAUAACUUUGUGCCGACCGCAUGGCCUUGUGCCGGCAGCGUAUCUUUCAAAUGUCUGCCCUAUCAACUUUCGAUGGUAGGUGACAUGCCUACCAUGGUUGUAACGGGUAACGGAGAAUCAGGGUUCGAUUCCGGAGAGGGAGCCUGAGAAACGGCUACCACAUCCAAGGAAGGCAGCAGGCGCGCAAAUUACCCACUCCCGGCACGGGGAGGUAGUGAGGAAAAAUAACAAUGCUGGGCUUCAAGUCCGGUAAUUGGAAUGAGUNCACUUUNAAUCCUUUAACGAGGA
rnacentral:rRNA from 1 species